rnacentral:tRNA from 1 species
GGAGGGUUGGCCGAGUGGUCUAAGGCGGCUGACUUAAGAUCAGCUGGUGUUCUCACCGCGCGAGUUCGAACCUCGCAUCCUUCA